rnacentral:sRNA from 1 species
UCACCAACACGCUGUAAGAAAAUGCCUUGCCUGGAUAACAUUCUUCUUCUUUUCCUUCUCUUAUUGGCUUAUAAACCGUUUAUAAAGUAAUAGUAUUUCACAGAAUAAAGAUCAGAUAGCGAUCAAUAGUGUGAGGACGCAUAAGAAGAAAGAACCACUAAAUCAACCUGGGCUUUGGAAUCUGAAGUUCGUAAAAUACUCAGCCUUUAGUUUUUAGGAGUUGGGAGCAGUCCAGUUUUCAGGAUCGGAAAACCAGCAGAUUCUGUUUUUAGCUAUGAAAAUCUGCAUUGUUCCACCUGGUUAGGGCAUAUAUUUUACUUCAACUAACCAACAUUUACUUUCAAAGAAGAAAGAAACAUCGAGCUUCCCGGCAGGUCCUCCCAGCCCAGACACAAGCCAGUUGACUGGCAAAGGAAAAUGACCACCACUCCUACCCCACUGUUCACCCUGCUGGCAGAGCCGCAGGCCUGGUGCCAAGGCCCUGGCAGUUUUAAGGCUGUUUCCUGGCAGCCAUUGGCUUUUCUAUGCCAUGUGACUCUGCUUCUGUCUGUCUGGAUUUUGUUCUGAGUUUCCUUAGGGCAUGCUUCUGAACAGCAUCAGGAACGGCAGCAAGAGCCCUGGGAUUCAGCAAAGCCAUGUUAUCCAGGAACCUUGGAUCUCUGAGCUGUCCCAGGCUCCCUCUGCCAGCCGCUUGCUUCAGGGCUUCAAAGGAAGGCUCGGCUGCAGUACCCAGCAUGCUUUUCUGCGGCUGCCACAGCCCUCUUUUGAAGCACCAUGGUAGCCAACAGAGAGGAUUCUGUGUUACGUACAGUAUGACCCUGGAGGAGCCAGCCAGCUGCUGUGACUCAGCUAAAAACAGGGAACUCGCUAUGAGAGGCUAUGGUGAAUUCUCGAAGUUCUAUUACUUUCAGAAGCAGUUCUGAAUUAAAGGUGUCAACUGCCAAUAAGACAGUAGUAUAUUGGCAUAUGUUUCUAUGUACGACACAUAUAUGACACAUAUAUGCUGCUGUUGCAGAAGAGGUUUCAGAUUCCUUGGACCAGGAGGGACAACAAGCCUGGUAAUGGGAAUUGAACUCUGAUCCAUGGAAGAGCAGGAAGUACUCUGAAUUGCCGAGUCAUCUUUCCAGUCUCAACAUAUUUAUAUAUAAAUCUUUAAAGUAUUUGAAGUCAUUUGUCAAUUUAUUGUCAACAAGUAUUGUCAAUAAAUGUCAUAUAACCUCA